CGUCGGGUCCACCGCAGCACAGCAACCGCGAGAAUCGCAUUACUCUCUAUCCCCAGCUCAGUCUGGAACGGACGAGAAACGUGGACAAAAAAACGAGUGCUGGAUCGGGGACUUAUUCUCCACUGCGGGCGAUGAGAAAGCGCAAUAAAAGCAAAUAAUGAAAAAAAGAAACCCCAUACAAAGCAAGGUAACUAACCCUCACCACCAAGUCCUCGCAGCUAGCUCGGGGAAAAGGCAAAGGGCGGAAAGAAAGUGUGUGAGAAACCUUCCUUACCUGGGUACAGAGCAAGUCAAGUCUGUGGUGCAACCGAGUCGCCCAGCCACCGCCAGCCAGCCCCCAGCCUCGUCCCUGUCAGGAUCAAACUC
rnacentral:sRNA from 1 species